UACGUAGGGUGCAAGCGUUGUCCGGAAUUAUUGGGCGUAAAGAGCUCGUAGGCGGUCUGUCACGUCGGCUGUGAAAUCCCGAGGCUCAACCUCGGGUCUGCAGUCGAUACGGGCAAACUAGAGUAUUGCAGGGGAGACUGGAAUUCCUGGUGUAGCGGUGAAAUGCGCAGAUAUCAGGAGGAACACCGAUGGCGAAGGCAGUUCUCUGGGCCGUAACUGACGCUGAGGAGCGAAAGCGUGGGGGAGCGAACAGG
rnacentral:rRNA from 1 species